UUGCAGAAAACUGAAAUGCUCUGCUCGAUUUACCCUCCUCUUUCUGAAAAACAGAAAAAAAACCAUUCACAGCAGACUCUUCCUCCUUCAACACUUACGUAGAACCUAAAAGGCCCAGAUGAAAUUGGAGCCCCACUAUGCAAGGCUGCCUACUAACACAUGCACCUUUCAUCUGAGACUCUCAAAGCACUUUGCAAACAUGGAUAAAGCUUUGCAACUGUCAAGCUUCAGAUUGGAAAUAAGACAUAAGCUGUUAACACUAAGGAUGAGGGACAUUGACGCAGAAAGAAGCUUAAUGACUUCCCCAAGAUCAGGCAAAAGAAAAAAGAAAAAAAAACAGUGGCAAAGGAAGGCAUAGACCCCAAGAGUCGCAUCUCCUUAUCGACUGUCCUAAUCAUUAUACACACUAUAUUUUCACAGCACUACAAAAAUAUGAAUACAAGAAACCAAAAAAAGCCAAAGGAAACACAUUUCCUGUAAAUGUGUGAAAAUGGUUUGUUUGGUCUGAUAAUCUUGAACACAUUUCUUUUGAAAGCAUAAUUUAUUAAAAUAAGCACAUGUAAUUUUGCAAUUAGAAAUACAAUAUGUGCAUUAAACACAUUAGUUAAGAAGUUAUGCUUUUAAAACUGCAAAUCACUAACCAAAUGCAUUUUACAAUGUUUUAAUGAGCACUUUUUCAUAUGGUAUUAAUAUCCAUUAGCUAUGUUAAUACAAGUAAUGCUAAUAAUGUACAAAACCAUUAUUUUGCUACAAAGUCAAUAAUGGAUGGUAGUGAUUUCUAGACUGAACUGUCUGAGAGGGUUUAUAUUGUGUUUAGUGCAAUGGUAAAAGUACCAUUGAAUUUCUCUCUCUGUUAACUAAAUUCUGGCUGCUUUCAUGGAGGGUAACUAUCUGGGUUAGGUGGAUGUCUGUGGGGUGAUUUUGGAGGAGUUCUAUGAAUCAACACAAGUGCUGGGUAGAAAUAGCACACAGAUGCCCUUCUGUCUUCCAUAAAGCAACACCAGGAUAUAGGGACAUUUACCCUGUUUUCUACUGCCUGCUGACUAAUGUUGUCUCAUUGUUUCCUUGUACCUGCCUGUCUGUCUGUAUCCAUCUGUCGUAUCUUGUCUUAUAUUUAGAAUGUGAGCGCUUUUGGACAAGGACUGUCUUUUGUUCUGUUUGUACAGCACCUAGCACAGUAGAGUCCUUCUACAGGACUUGGGCUCCUAGAUGUUAUGAUUAAACAAACGAUAAAAAGAACUAACCAUUUUCAUAGGUACAAUAUACGUACCUGCCCUCUCCUUUGCACAGGUAUAAAUUUCACCAUUACGAGAUAAGCAGAGUUAGGCCUGACCUGCAAACUUUGGAUUCAAACUUCCCCAGCGUACAUGGUGGUUGGAUUCUGAAAUGGAUUCAAAGCCAAACUGAAGUCAAUGGAAAGACUCCCAAUGAUUUCCACGGGCUUUACAUCAGUCCCUUGCUUUGAGCUCAUCUUGAAAUAUAACUUUGAUAUAUUGUAUCUAAAUGGAUUUUAUUGGCUAGAUUGUCUCUUUGGAACAACUAUGAUUGUUAUUUUGCCAGAUAAUCUGGUGAAAUGUAAUAGUUGUUUAGUUAGUGGAUGGAAUGAGGAGUGAUUAUUGGGAGAAAUUCUGCUUGAAGUCAUAAUACAAUUUGCAGCUACAUUAUACUGCUUGCUUUAGGAAAACAUUUAUAAGCUGAUUUGCAAGUAAAAUAUUAUAUUAUACUAAUAUUUGGAACAUUUUAUGCUACUAGUAAAAUUCUUACAUUAUUUUAGAGACCAUUCUUGCAUUGUAAAAUUAACCAUAUAUCUUAUAAAUCAACAGAGAGAAGAAACCACAGUGGUGAUUCAAAUAUUAAGCAUACACAUUUUAAUAAUAGCAUGUUCCUGUUUAAUUUUUAAUUUACUUAACCACAGCAUUUAUUCUAACUUAAGGCAACAAUUUCCCUGAAAAAUGCAAUUAUUUGCAACUUUUCUCAUUUUUGUACAAUAUACAUA